GGUUAAAAAGCUCGUAGUUGGAUUUCUGUUGAGGAUGACCGGUCCGCUCUUUGAGCGCGUAUCUGGUUCAGCCUUGGCAUCCUCUUGGGGAACGCUACUGUGCUUGAUUGCAUGGGGCGGUAUUCAAGACUUUUACUUUGAGGAAAUUAGAGUGUUCACUGCAAGCGUUAGCAAUUGAAUACAUUAGCAUGGAAUAAUAAUAUAGGACCUUGGUACUAUUUUGUUGGUUUCUAGAACUAAGGUAAUGAUUAAUAGGGACAAUUGGGGGCAUUCGUAUUAACGCGUCAGAGGUGGAAUUCUUAGAUUGCGUUACGACGAACUACUGCGAAAGCAUUUGCCAAGGAUGUUUUCAUUGAUCAAGAACGAAAGUAUGGGGAUCGAAGACGCUUAGAUACCGUCGUAGUCUAUACCAUAAACUAUGCCAACUAGAGAUUGGAGGUCGUUCUCUUUAUGACUCCUUCAGCACCUUAUGAGAAAUCAAAGUCUUUGGGUUCCGGGGGGAGUAUGGU
rnacentral:rRNA from 1 species